UACGGGGGGAGCAAGCGUUGUUCGGAUUUACUGGGCGUAAAGGGCGCGUAGGCGGCGCAACAAGUCACUUGUGAAAUCUCCGGGCUUAACCCGGAGCGGUCAAGUGAUACUGUCGUGCUAGAGUGCGGAAGGGGCUACUGGAAUUCUCGGUGUAGCGGUGAAAUGCGUAGAUAUCGAGAGGAACACCAGUGGCGAAGGCGAGUCCCUGGACAGGUCCUGACGCUGAGGCACGAAAGCUAGGGGAGCAAACAGG
rnacentral:rRNA from 1 species